CCGAGUUAGGGUUUCGUCCGACGAGUCCGACCUCCCAACCCUUUGUCUAUUAUACCUUGUCGUUGCUUCGGCGGACCGGUCGCGACCAACUAGUCGUGGCCGCCGGGGCCCGUCCCUGGAAAGCGUCCGCCGACGGCCCAACCACAAACUCUUGUACCAAACCAUGUCGUCUGAAUUUACUUGAUUAAAAUCAAAAACA
rnacentral:misc_RNA from 1 species